rnacentral:rRNA from 1 species
UACAGAGGGGGCAAGCGUUAUUCGGAAUUAUUGGGCGUAAAGGGCGCGAGUAGGCGGUCGGACAAGGUGGAAGGUGAAAUCCCCAGGCUACAACCCGUGGGAACUGCCCCUCCAAACUGUUUGACUUGAGUUCCGGGAGAGGUGAGUGGAAUUCCCAGUGUGAUGCGGUGAAAUGACGUAGAUAUUGGGAGGAACACCAGUGGCGAAGGCGGCUCACUGGACCGGAACUGACGCUGAGGCGCGAAAGCGUGGG